GACGAAGGGGGCUAGCGUUGUUCGGAAUUACUGGGGGUAAAGCGCGUGUAGGCGGUUGUUCAAGUCAGGUGUGAAAGCCUUGAGCUCAACUCAAGAAAUGCACUUGAUACUGGAUGACUAGAGGACCGGAGAGGAUAGUGGAAUUCCCAGUGUAGUGGUGAAAUACGUAGAGAUUGGGAAGAACACCAGUGGCGAAGGCGGCUAUCUGGACGGUUUCUGACGCUAAGACGCGAAAGCGUGGGGAGCAAACAGG
rnacentral:rRNA from 1 species